AUGCUAGUUGCACGAGUUCAGACUCGUAGCAGAUAGCUCAGUAACACGUGGCCAAACUACCCUAUGGAUCCGAAUAACCUCGGGAAACUGAGGCUAAUAUGGAAUAGCGUUCAUCGCCUGGAGUGGCACGAACGCGAAACGUUACGGCGCCAUAGGAUGUGGCUGCGGCCGAUUAGGUAGACGGUGGGGUAACGGCCCACCGUGCCCAUAAUCGGUACGGGUUGUGAGAGCAAGAGCCCGGAGACGGUAUCUGAGACAAGAUACCGGGCCCUACGGGGCGCAGCAGGCGCGAAACCUUUACACUGCACGCGAGUGCGAUAAGGGGACUCCGAGUGCGAGGGCAUAUAGUCCUCGCUUUUCACGACCGUAAGGUGGUCGUAGAAUAAGUGCUGGGCAAGACCGGUGCCAGCCGCCGCGGUAAUACCGGCAGCACGAGUGAUGACCGCUAUUAUUGGGCCUAAAGCGUCCGUAGCUGGCCACGCAAGUCUAUCGGGAAAUCCGCGCGCUUAACGCGCGGGCGUCCGGUGGAAACUGCGUGGCUUGGGACCGGAAGACCAGAGGGGUACGUCCGGGGUAGGAGUGAAAUCCCGUAAUCCUGGACGGACCACCGGUGGCGAAAGCGCCUCUGGAAGACGGAUCCGACGGUGAGGGACGAAAGCUCGGGUCACGAACCGGAUUAGAUACCCGGGUAGUCCGAGCUGUAAACGAUGUCUGCUAGGUGUGGCACAGGCUACGAGCCUGUGCUGUGCCGUAGGGAAGCCGUGAAGCAGACCGCCUGGGAAGUACGUCCGCAAGGAUGAAACUUAAAGGAAUUGGCGGGGGAGCACUACAACCGGAGGAGCCUGCGGUUUAAUUGGACUCAACGCCGGACAUCUCACCAGCAUCGACAAUGUGCAGUGAACGUCAGGUUGAUGACCUUACUGGAGCCAUUGAGAGGAGGUGCAUGGCCGCCGUCAGCUCGUACCGUGAGGCGUCCUGUUAAGUCAGGCAACGAGCGAGACCCGCACUCCUAAUUGCCAGCAACACCCUCGUGGUGGUUGGGU
rnacentral:rRNA from 1 species